GGACUACAAGGGUAUCUAAUCCUGUUCGAUACCCGCACUUUCGAGCUUCAGCGUCAGUUGCGCUCCAGUGAGCUGCCUUCGCAAUCGGAGUUCUUCGUGAUAUCUAAGCAUUUCACCGCUACACCACGAAUUCCGCCCACUUUGUGCGUACUCAAGGAAACCAGUUCGCGCUGCAGUGCAGACGUUGAGCGUCUACAUUUCACAACACGCUUAAUCUCCGGCCUACGCUCCCUUUAAACCCAAUAAAUCCGGAUAACGCCCGGACCUUCCGUAUUACCGCGGCUGCUGGCACGGAAUUAGCCGGUCCUUAUUCAUAAGGUACAUGCAAAAAGAGUCACGACUCUCACUUUAUUCCCUUAUAAAAGCAGUUUACAACCCAUAGGGCCGUCAUCCUGCACGC
rnacentral:misc_RNA from 1 species